CCGAUUACCUUACGUUGCGCCCCUCGCGGGCGCUCCGUCUCCAACCCCAUGUUGUACCGACCACUGUUGCCUCGGGGGCGACCCGGACCGUCCGCGGUCUCGGGGCCCCCGGCGGACACUAUCUAAACACUUGCAUCUCUGCGUCCGAGUAGAUUAUUGAAUCAAUCA
rnacentral:misc_RNA from 1 species